rnacentral:rRNA from 1 species
GAGUUUGAUCGUGGCUCAGAACGAACGCUGGCGGCAGGCCUAACACAUGCAAGUCGAACGCACUCUUCGGAGUGAGUGGCAGACGGGUGAGUAACGCGUGGGAACCUUCCCAAUGGUGCGGAAUAGCCCAGGGAAACUUGGGGGUAAUACCGCAUACGCCCUACGGGGAAAGAUUUAUCGCCAUUGGAUGGGCCCGCGUCGGAUUAGCUUGUUGGUGAGGUAAUGGCUCACCAAGGCAACGAUCCGUAGCUGGUUUGAGAGAAUGACCAGCCACACUGGGACUGAGACACGGCCCAGACUCCUACGGGAGGCAGCAGUGGGGAAUCUUGGACAAUGGGCGAAAGCCUGAUCCAGCCAUGCCGCGUGAGUGACGAAGGCCUUAGGGUUGUAAAGCUCUUUUGGC